UGGCGGCGUGCCUAAUACAUGCAAGUCGAACGAGUUCUCGUUGAUGAUCGGUGCUUGCACCGAGAUUCAACAUGGAACGAGUGGCGGACGGGUGAGUAACACGUGGGUAACCUGCCCUUAAGUGGGGGAUAACAUUUGGAAACAGAUGCUAAUACCGCAUAGAUCCAAGAACCGCAUGGUUCUUGGCUGAAAGAUGGCGUAAGCUAUCGCUUUUGGAUGGACCCGCGGCGUAUUAGCUAGUUGGUGAGGUAAUGGCUCACCAAGGCGAUGAUACGUAGCCGAACUGAGAGGUUGAUCGGCCACAUUGGGACUGAGACACGGCCCAAACUCCUACGGGAGGCAGCAGUAGGGAAUCUUCCACAAUGGACGCAAGUCUGAUGSAGCAACGCCGCNUGAGUGAAGAAGGCUUUCGGGUCGUAAAACUCUGUUGUUGGAGAAGAAUGGUCGGCAGAGUAACUGUUGUCGGCGUGACGGUAUCCAACCAGAAAGCCACGGCUAACUACGUGCCAGCAGCCGCGGUAAUACGUAGGUGGCAAGCGUUAUCCGGAUUUAUUGGGCGUAAAGCGAGCGCAGGCGGUUUUUUAAGUCUGAUGUGAAAGCCCUCGGCUUAACCGAGGAAGCGCAUCGGAAACUGGGAAACUUGAGUGCAGAAGAGGACAGUGGAACUCCAUGUGUAGCGGUGAAAUGCGUAGAUAUAUGGAAGAACACCAGUGGCGAAGGCGGCUGUCUGGUCUGUAACUGACGCUGAGGCUCGAAAGCAUGGGUAGCGAACAGGAUUAGAUACCCUGGUAGUCCAUGCCGUAAACGAUGAAUGCUAGGUGUUGGAGGGUUUCCGCCCUUCAGUGCCGCAGCUAACGCAUUAAGCAUUCCGCCUGGGGAGUACGACCGCAAGGUUGAAACUCAAAGGAAUUGACGGGGGCCCGCACAAGCGGUGGAGCAUGUGGUUUAAUUCGAAGCAACGCGAAGAACCUUACCAGGUCUUGACAUCUUUUGAUCACCUGAGAGAUCAGGUUUCCCCUUCGGGGGCAAAAUGACAGGUGGUGCAUGGUUGUCGUCAGCUCGUGUCGUGAGAUGUUGGGUUAAGUCCCGCAACGAGCGCAACCCUUAUGACUAGUUGCCAGCAUUUAGUUGGGCACUCUAGUAAGACUGCCGGUGACAAACCGGAGGAAGGUGGGGAUGACGUCAAAUCAUCAUGCCCCUUAUGACCUGGGCUACACACGUGCUACAAUGGAUGGUACAACGAGUUGCGAGACCGCGAGGUCAAGCUAAUCUCUUAAAGCCAUUCUCAGUUCGGACUGUAGGCUGCAACUCGCCUACACGAAGUCGGAAUCGCUAGUAAUCGCGGAUCAGCACGCCGCGGUGAAUACGUUCCCGGGCCUUGUACACACCGCCCGUCACACCAUGAGAGUUUGUAACACCCGAAGCCGGUGGCGUAACCCUUUUAGGGAGCGAGCCGUCUAAGGUGGGACAAAUGAU
rnacentral:rRNA from 2 species